UCUCUCUGCCCUAUAAAAGGCACACAAUAUCCAUCAAUUUUGUGCAACUUAAUUGAGGGUUGAGCUAGAGAAACCAUUAUCGAGUGCUUUCAUCCUUCUCCAAAGAUUGUUCUCAUGGAUUCUGGUAUGUCAAUCGCUUUUCGCACUAUGAUAAGUGAGAAUCAUGAUUAUUUAAGUUCUUGUGUACUACAAUUAAUUUUAUAUAACAGAUAUGCCAAGCCUGCAAAAUAAGAAUCUCGAUGAAUAUAACCCUAUUAAAUAAUGGAAUCUGCUAGGUAUAAGUUUUGAUGUCUUUAUCCUAUACCUGUCCGAACAAGAAAAGNNN
rnacentral:lncRNA from 1 species